UUGAACAAAUCCAAAGGGGAUUUGCCACACUAAAGGGGUACAAGAUAAUGUCAGCAUACAAGAGGGCUAAAAAUCUAAAGGACAUCCUGGUCAGUACAAGUCUACACACAGCCCCAGACUGUGGGCAGAGACGGUGUGGGGCCUGCACCCACUUAGCAAUAGUCAAAAAUAUAGAGAACAGUGUAACAGGGGAGAGAGGCCAGAUAGGAAGAGCGUCGUGUAGGGAAAGAG